AAAUUUCAUUCACGUUACUUUCAAUCUUUAGGCAAAACUGGCAAGCAAGCCGCAUAGGCUUAGAGUCAGUGCAAAAUCUAGGCUGUACAGCGAGGCGGCCUUGGAGGUCAUCUUAAGCCUGUGUCAGAAUGACCUCGCAACCCUUCACCUCGUGACGGAAGACGCCAGCGAGAAAAGAUCUGCAACCAGAAGAGAGAAAGGAAGGAAGAGAAUGCCUUCAAGGAAGUUCCGAUCACCAAUCACCAGAGAUCACCACUCAGCAGAUAACCGGCCCUCAGCUGCUGUUGAUGCCCAGAAGUGAGACUGCCCAAGGGCUUAUCAGGAGUGAAAGAAACACGCGUGACCCCUUGGUUUCUCCUGAGAAACUGCUCCUGCCAAGCCCCUUAGCUCUGUAAAAACCCCUGCUUUCUUCUCUCGUUCAGGUGGAUUUGAGAGAACCUAUCCUCCCGCCUUCUCCGCCAAUUCGAAUAAACCUUUCUCCAUCUCC
rnacentral:lncRNA from 1 species